CCCCCUGACACUGCCUGCUGCUGUCUGCUCGAUCACUGGAUUCUUCAGGAAAAACUUCAACCCCUUCAGCAGCACAGACUCAGGGCUGAAGGCUUUACUGAAUAGCUGCAGGCAGUGAGGAGACAAAUGCUGGGCACAGGAGCUGACA